rnacentral:rRNA from 1 species
GACGAACGCUGGCGGCGUGCUUAACACAUGCAAGUCGAACGGAAAGGCCCUGCUUUUGUGGGGUGCUCGAGUGGCGAACGGGUGAGUAACACGUGAGUCACCUUCCCUUGACUUUGGGAUAACUUCAGGCAACUGGGGCUAAUACCGGAUACGAGCUCCUGCUACCUGGUGGGGGUUGGAAAGUUUCGGCGGUUGUGGAUGUACUCGCGGCUUAUCAGCUUGUUGGUGGGGUAGUGGCUUACCAAGGCUUUGACGGGUAGCCUGCCUGAGAGGGUGACCGGCCACAGUGGGACUGAGAUACGGCCCAGAGGCAUACGGGAGGAAGGAGUGGGGAAUAUUGCACAAUGGGCGGAAGCCUGAUGCAGGAACGCCGCGUGCGGGAUGACGGCAUUCGGGGUGUAAACCGAGUUCGCCUGUGACGAAGCGUGAGUGACGGUAAUGGGUAAAGAAGCACCGGCUAACUACGU